UACGUAGGGUGCAAGCGUUAAUCGGAAUUACUGGGCGUAAAGCGUGCACAGGCGGCCAUGCAGGACAGAUGUGAAAUCCCCGGGCUCAACCUGGGAACUGCAUUUGUGACUGCAUGGCUGGAGUGCGGCAGAGGGGGAUGGAAUUCCGCGUGUAGCAGUGAAAUGCGUAGAUAUGCGGAGGAACACCGAGGGCGAAGGCAAUCCCCUGGGCCUACACUGACGCUCAUGCACGAAAGCGUGGGGAGCAAACAGG
rnacentral:rRNA from 1 species